rnacentral:rRNA from 1 species
GACGAACGCUGGCGGCGUGCUUAACACAUGCAAGUCGAACGGAAAGGCCCUGCUUUUGUGGGGUUCUCGAGUGGCGAACGGGUGAGUAACACGUGAGUAACCUGCCCUUGACUUUGGGAUAACUUCAGGAAACUGGGGCUAAUACCGGAUAGGAUCUCCUGCUGCAUGUGGGGGGUUGGAAAGUUUCGGCGGUUGGGGAUGGACUCGCGGCUUAUCCGCUUGUUGGUGGGGUAGGUGCCUACCACGGCUUUGACGGGUAGCCGGCCUGAGAGGGUGACCGGCCACAUUGGGACUGAGAUACGGACCAGACUCCUACGGGAGGCAGCAGUGGGGAAUAUUGCACAAUGGGCGGAAGCCUGAUGCAGCAACGCCGCGUGCGGGAUGACGGCCUUCGGGUUGUAAACCGCUUUCGCAUGUGACGAAGCGUGAGUGACGGUAAUGGGUAAAGAAGCACCGGCUAACUACGUG